rnacentral:rRNA from 1 species
UACGUAGGGUGCAAGCGUUGUCCGGAAUUAUUGGGCGUAAAGAGCUCGUAGGCGGUCUGUCGCGUCUGCUGUGAAAACUCAGGGCUUAACCCUGAGCUUGCAGUGGGUACGGGCAGACUAGAGUGCGGUAGGGGAGACUGGAAUUCCUGGUGUAGCGGUGAAAUGCGUAGAUAUCAAGAGGAACACCUGAGGUGAAGACGGGUUGCUGGGCCGACACUGACGCUGAGGCGCGAAAGCCAGGGGAGCAAACGGG